rnacentral:rRNA from 1 species
UACGGGGGGGGCAAGCGUUGUUCGGAAUUACUGGGCGUAAAGGGCUCGUAGGUGGCCAACUAAGUCAGACGUGAAAUCCCUCGGCUUAACCGGGGAACUGCGUCUGAUACUGGAUGGCUUGAGUUUGGGAGAGGGAUGCGGAAUUCCAGGUGUAGCGGUGAAAUGCGUAGAUAUCUGGAGGAACACCGAUUGCGAAGGCAGCUCGCUGGAACGUAACUGACGCUGAGACGCGAAAGCGUGGGGAGCAAACAGG